GAAGCCCGCCAGACCGCCGCUGGUGCAAGUCUCGAAAGAGCGCACUGGAGGAACGUCCGGACUGCACAGGGCAGCGCAGGAGCUAACGGCUCUCCACCGCGAGGUGAGGAUCAGAGCAACAGAGACGAGCCGCUUAAGUGCGGGUGAAACGGGCAAUCUCUGCGCGCAGCAACACCAAGUAGGCACACGUCGAGGCGGCUCGCUGAGUGUGCGGGUAGGUGGCACCGAGCCGGGUGGGCGACCCCCGGCCCAGAUUGAUGGCGGUCACGGCGCGGGCAACCGCGCCGCACAGAAUCCGGCGUAUCGGCGGACUUCACAC
rnacentral:RNase_P_RNA from 1 species